UACUUUUUUAAAAAAAAAAUUAUCAAGAUCUAAAGAAGUAUUCUUACUUGGAAUGAUUGCUUUGCUUGUGUUUGCAUGUUGAAAAACAAUAAAAUGUUAAUGAUCGAAUAACUUAAUGUUUAUACUAAAAAUAUUUGUAAAUAUCGAAUAACUUACUUCCAUAGAAGCGAAACGCUUCAGUAACUUGCUUUGUUGUUGAUUCAAUGCUUUCAUUUCUUUGUUAACGGCCUCUAAUUUCUUCGUAACAACCUCUUUGACACAAAAAUCAAAUUCUUUUUUUCUUCUUCCUUUCGAUUUCUUUUUUGGUUUGUCGAUCUCGUAUAAUCUUCGAUUUAUUAAUCAUUUGUGAAAGCAUUGAAUCAUCACCCGAUCUCAUUCCGAGAAUACGUCCCUUUGUCUUUCCUCCUGUAGCCUUCAUCCAAGCUUCAAAACUGUCUUCUGUAAAUAUCGGCUUUUUACGCAUGUAGGAGCCUUGAGUCGAAAUGUCUUCGUCGUCGUCUUCAUCUACAAUUUGACAUUUAUCAAAUUGUUCUUUU
rnacentral:lncRNA from 1 species